rnacentral:rRNA from 1 species
GACGAAACGCUGGCGGCGCGCCUAACACAUGCAAGUCGAACGAGCGAGAGAGAGUUUGCUUUCUCAAGCGAGUGGCGAACGGGUGAGUAACGCGUGAGGAACCUGCCUCAAAGAGGGGGACAACAGUUGGAAACGACUGCUAAUACCGCAUAAGCCCACAGCUCGGCAUCGAGCAGAGGGAAAAGGAGUGAUCCGCUUUGAGAUGGCCUCGCGUCCGAUUAGCUGGUUGGUGAGGUAACGGCCCACCAAGGCGACGAUCGGUAGCCGGACUGAGAGGUUGAACGGCCACAUUGGAACUGAGACACGGUCCAA